CUGAUUGCUCUUUCCCAGCACGCAUCCCUCCAGGACACACCAGCCAUCCUUCACCUGGCUCAGGGCUCAAUCCUUUCAGGAGGUGCAGUCCACUUUAUCUUCUCCUUCAGGCAAAACACACCAACAGCCUUCACAAACCCCCAUAAACACAAAGUUCAGGAAGCUGCUGCCUGUAAAUCCUUUCGCUAACAUCACUUGUUUGACUGCUCUGUGCCAGCAGCACUGCAGUCAGGAGAUAAACUCUGCUCUGUGACGCCUGCACUGUACCUGUCUGUGCUUCCUGAACUUUGUGUCUCUCAGAUCUUGCUGAAAAACCUGAUUUUGCAUCUUCUGUGGCCGCCUCUGGGGCUGCAGGUGACCUCACCUAACACCCUGUAUGUGUGUGAGAAGAAACAACUUCAGGGAGGCACCAGAAUUUUUUGCCUUUGGAGGCAGCAGGAUGUGUUCCUCUGUUCCUGACAAACUGAUCCAGCUGGGUGUAGGGAGCAGGAUUUUUACCCUGAGGAUUGACUGACAUCUAAUUACAACAGAAAGACAAAGAGUAUCCUACAAAAUCCCUACAAAACAAUUCUAACGUGGUCAUCUCACCUCUGGGAACUCCACUGCAGCAAGACAUCGUCUAAUACUUACUUAGCCCCUAUUUUCUCCUGAUUAACACCACCUUGAGGUUGCUAAUUGGCUCAGAAAAUAUAUGUACUGCAGUGAUAGCAUGCCUGGCCUUUCUGACUGCCUCCAAGGGCAAAAAAUAUGUUUGUGUUACCUGA